GAUGAACGCUGGCGGCGUGCUUAACACAUGCAAGUCGAACGGUGAAGCAGAGCUUGCUCUGUGGAUCAGUGGCGAACGGGUGAGUAACACGUGAGCAAUCUGCCCCUGACUCUGGGAUAACAGUUGGAAACAGCUGCUAAUACCGGAUAUGAGACGUGACCGCAUGGUCGACGUUUGGAAAGAAUUUCGGUCAGGGAUGAGCUCGCGGCCUAUCAGCUUGUUGGUGAGGUAAUGGCUCACCAAGGCGUCGACGGGUAGCCGGCCUGAGAGGGUGACCGGCCACACUGGGACUGAGACACGGCCCAGACUCCUACGGGAGGCAGCAGUGGGGAAUAUUGCACAAUGGGCGAAAGCCUGAUGCAGCAACGCCGCGUGAGGGACGACGGCCUUCGGGUUGUAAACCUCUUUUAGCAGGGAAGAAGCGAAAGUGACGGUACCUGCAGAAAAAGCGCCGGCUAACUACGUGCCAGCAGCCGCGGUAAUACGUAGGGCGCAAGCGUUAUCCGGAAUUAUUGGGCGUAAAGAGCUCGUAGGCGGUUUGUCGCGUCUGCUGUGAAAACUGGAGGCUCAACCUCCAGCCUGCAGUGGGUACGGGCAGACUAGAGUGCGGUAGGGGAGAUUGGAAUUCCUGGUGUAGCGGUGGAAUGCGCAGAUAUCAGGAGGAACACCGAUGGCGAAGGCAGAUCUCUGGGCCGUAACUGACGCUGAGGAGCGAAAGGGUGGGGAGCAAACAGGCUUAGAUACCCUGGUAGUCCACCCCGUAAACGUUGGGAACUAGUUGUGGGGUCCAUUCCACGGAUUCCGUGACGCAGCUAACGCAUUAAGUUCCCCGCCUGGGGAGUACGGCCGCAAGGCUAAAACUCAAAGGAAUUGACGGGGACCCGCACAAGCGGCGGAGCAUGCGGAUUAAUUCGAUGCAACGCGAAGAACCUUACCAAGGCUUGACAUAUACGAGAACGGGCUAGAAAUAGUCAACUCUUUGGACACUCGUAAACAGGUGGUGCAUGGUUGUCGUCAGCUCGUGUCGUGAGAUGUUGGGUUAAGUCCCGCAACGAGCGCAACCCUCGUUCUAUGUUGCCAGCACGUAAUGGUGGGAACUCAUGGGAUACUGCCGGGGUCAACUCGGAGGAAGGUGGGGAUGACGUCAAAUCAUCAUGCCCCUUAUGUCUUGGGCUUCACGCAUGCUACAAUGGCCGGUACAAAGGGCUGCAAUACCGUAAGGUGGAGCGAAUCCCAAAAAGCCGGUCCCAGUUCGGAUUGAGGUCUGCAACUCGACCUCAUGAAGUCGGAGUCGCUAGUAAUCGCAGAUCAGCAACGCUGCGGUGAAUACGUUCCCGGGUCU
rnacentral:rRNA from 1 species